AUUUUGAAAGACCAUGGAGAGGAUUUUCUUGUUGGCAACAAAUUCAGCUGGGCAGACAUACAGCUGUUAGAAGCUAUUUUAAUGGUGGAAGAACUCAAAGCUUCUGUUCUUUCUGACUUCCCUCUGCUAAAGGUUCGAGUGCAGUGGCAUGAUCAUGGCUCACUGCAGACUUGACCUCUUGGCCUCAAGCGAUCCUCCCACCUCAUCCUCCAGAGUAGCUGGGACCACAGGCAUUUAAAAUAAGAAUCAGCAACAUCCCUACAAUUAAGAAGUUCCUGCAGCCUGGGAGUCAGAGGAAGCCACCCCCGAUACCCACUAUGUUGAACUUGCCAGGAAGAUAGUGCUGCUCUAAUGGCAGCAGGUUGCGUGAUGACAAACAUGAUGAUCCAGUCACAGCACCAGCAUGUGCUGUCUGCAGAGGAUAAUAGAAGCAAACUGUAGAUCCCAGGAGCAAAGUGUCUGAAAAGAACAAAACCAUGCUGCCAUUAACAGCAACGCUGAUUAAAUGUAGUAUAAAAUCA
rnacentral:lncRNA from 10 species